rnacentral:rRNA from 1 species
CACGUAGGGUGCGAGCGUUGUCCGGAAUUAUUGGGCGUAAAGAGCUCGUAGGCGGUGUGUCGCGUCGGCCGUGAAAACCUGCAGCUUAACUGUGGGCGUGCGGUCGAUACGGGCAUCACUGGAGUUCGGCAGGGGAGACUGGAAUUCCCGGUGUAGCGGUGAAAUGCGCAGAUAUCGGGAGGAACACCAGUAGCGAAGGCGGCACUCUGGGCCGGUACUGACGCUGAGGAGCGAAAGCGUGGGGAGCGAACAGG